UACCUGGUUGAUCCUGCCAGUAGUCAUAUGCUUGUCUCAAAGAUUAAGCCAUGCAUGUGCAAGUAUGAACCAAUUUGAACUGUGAAACUGCG
rnacentral:rRNA from 1 species